AAUACUGGAGAGUUUAAGCACUGAA
rnacentral:piRNA from 1 species